CCACAAUGUACGGAAGUACGAUGGGGUUAUCUCGAGUGCAGUCCGAUAAGGGCUGCUUUUCCAUAGAGUAAUAUCCUGUGGGAAUAAGAGGGGGGCAAGACUGGUGUCAGCCGCCGCGGUAACACCAGCCCCUCGAGUGGUGGGGACUAUUAUUUGGUCUAAAGCGUCCGUAGCUGGCUGUAUCCGUCCCCCGUUAAAUCCAGCGUCCUAAGCGUUGGACUGCGGGUGAUACCAUACAGCUAGAGGGUGGGAUAGGUGAGCGGUAUUUCUGGGGUAGGGGCGAGAUCCUUUGAUCCCAGGAGGACCACCAGUGGCGAAGGCUGCUCACUAGAACACGCCUGACGGUCAGGGACGAAAGCUGGGGCAGCGAACCGGAUUAGAUACCCGGGUAGUCCCAGCUGUAAACGAUACUAGCUAGGUGUUGGGUCGGCCACGCGCCGCCCCAGUGCCGCAGGGAAGCCGUUAAGCUAGCCACCUGGGGAGUACGGCCGCAAGGCUGAAACUUAAAGGAAUUGGCGGGGGAGCAC
rnacentral:rRNA from 1 species